rnacentral:lncRNA from 1 species
CCCUGGGGCAGCGGGAGCUGAACUAUGGUUUCCAAAGACCACAGCACCCACAUCCUAGUCGGCAACGGGUCACCCACCCUCCCUUCUGUGCUUUCUUGCACAAGCAGCGUGUCCAAGACUCCCCCAAUUCGGCAUGAUCCUGGAAGGGUCCUCGCCCGCUGACGCAGCCAGAGAUGCUUGGCAUUAUCUUCAGACCUUUCCGGACAGUUGGCGCCUCUGAUUUGGGGACUGCAAGGGGAGUAGGGACGGGCAGUGGCCAGCUAGGCAGUGCGUGGUUUGGGGCAGAAAGAUCAGUUUCUCUAAGAGCUCAGUAUUAGAACACAAACUCGAACUUCCCUGUCCCUCUCUGGAAUCCUCGUGAAUGCCAUGUCAGGAGGAAGUCUUUGAUUCGGUCUUGCCUGGGGUUUUCCUCCUGGGACUUCCUACUAGUACUUAGCAUCAUGAGCUAAUUAAGGCCUAAGACAGCUGUCCUGACAUUUAGCGGGGAGUGUAUACGAUUUAAACACAGCGAAUUAUUUCCUGUAAAGGAGAAGUAAGAAAAUCUGAAAAGGGAAAACCUAGACGUUGGUACUUGGCUUUCCUCUUCUUCUCAACAAAUGCAGAAAGGAGAUAGCAG